CAAAACGACUCUCGGCAACGGAUAUCUCGGCUCUCGCAUCGAUGAAGAACGUAGCGAAAUGCGAUACGUGGUGUGAGUUGCAGAAUCCCGUGAACCAUCGAGUUUUUGAACGCAAGUUGCGCCCGAAGCCUUCUGGUUGAGGGCACGUCUGCCUGGG
rnacentral:rRNA from 1 species